AACGAACGCUGGCGGCAGGCUUAACACAUGCAAGUCGAGCGCCCCGCAAGGGGAGCGGCAGACGGGUGAGUAACGCGUGGGAAUCUACCCAAUACUACGGAAUAGCUCCGGGAAACUGGAAUUAAUACCGUAUGUGCCCUACGGGGGAAAGAUUUAUCGGUAUUGGAUGGGCCCGCGUUGGAUUAGCUAGUUGGUGGGGUAAUGGCCUACCAAGGCGACGAUCCAUAGCUGGUCUGAGAGGAUGAUCAGCCACACUGGGACUGAGACACGGCCCAAACUCCUACGGGAGGCAGCAGUGGGGAAUAUUGGACAAUGGGCGCAAGCCUGAUCCAGCCAUGCCGCGUGAGUGAUGAAGGCCUUAGGGUUGUAAAGCUCUUUCACCGGAGAAGAUAAUGACGGUAUCCGGAGAAGAAGCCCCGGCUAACUUCGUGCCAGCAGCCGCGGUAAUAC
rnacentral:rRNA from 1 species